UUCCUCCCAGCUCUCGACAGUGACCAUAAUGGGGAAUAACUCGUCCCCCAAAAUCAAUGACACAUUCUGCGGGAUAUCCGUCAGCUCAUGAACCGCGAUCUGACACCGGUAUGCCCUUAGGUCCAUCAUUGAUUUGGAAUUUUCAUCUGCCCGGAGGAACCGCCCGAAGCCUCCGACGAUUGCCGCCACUCUAGGAAUCGACCAACUUUCGAAAGGGAGGUUAAACAAUUUUAUCCACACCUUGAAAGGGAAUCUGUGGGGGGUAGUGAGUCGAUACUGUCCCCACUCGAAACAGUUAAUCCAAAAGCCCUCCAGAGUAGUAACCCUCCUCCUUAUAAGUCUCCGCUGAGACCCACUCCGGCAGGAACACCGCGAAGUCGUGCUCCCUAUGUCGCGCCACCAUAAAGUCAGUUGGGUAACCACCGAAUCGAUUCGCCAAGGCGUUGGCAAUCGUCUGCUGCGGCGAGUGACCAAGGUUCGCCGGCUAGACGAUAUCAACAAGAAUAGCAUUUUGACGUAGCUCUCUGCGAGUGUAGUAAUCCUCUGUGUAAGGGACAACCACACGUUGAGACGGAACGCGCCCUCGUGCGCGGUGUGCUCUCAGCAUGUUGUCGCUGCGAUCAAGAGGCUUAGCCUUGCAUUGAGAAGCCCUGUGGCCAGUACCGAGACAAUGGAAGCACCUGAGCGGGUCUCGGCAGUUGAUAACUUUAUGGUCGGAAGUCAAGCAUCUGAAGCACUUGCCGGAGAAAAUACGACACUUUCCGUUCACACCACUCUUAAGAUCUUCCUUGGAGAAGCUAGGUUUAGAAUUUGUUUGCCUCUGCGGCUUGACUGGGGUUAGGAGAGCCUCUUUAUAGGACUUCCUCCCCCCCUCCAACAGGCUGGUGUAAAUGCAACUUUCCUGAAGACAAUAGCUCCUUUCUCGCCUUCACAGCUCUGAAUCUACCAGAACCCAUACCAGUUUGAUGAACGUCAUUAAUUUCUCUACUCUUCUCCUCAACAAGCUGGAUAGGGAAAGCAAGUCUUGUGGAGUUAUGCUUAGCAAUAACUCCACCAACUCCAACUCUCCUAUCCUCCCUACAGUUCAAAGCCUGGAUCCUAAGCAGGGAGUCCAAAAGCCUUUGGUAACGUCUCUCCACUUCGGGCUCCAACACCUUUUCUAUACCCCUAUCAUUAUUACAGCGAUCAUUCUUGGGGGGGAACCAACAUCUCCUCGCGCCCUGUCGAGGCCUUCCCUCGCUGCAACUCUACUCUCUGCGUGAAAGAUCCUUUAGGUAGCCUCCUCCAGCAGCUAGUCUGAUCGUUACCAGCAAUGGGGAAGCCAAGAGGUGAUGCUCUGCCCCUUCUUCCGCUCACUCCCCUCUUUGGCCAUCUAGUUAGUUUUGUUUUUGUAGAACGCAGCGGAACUAUUCGUUCGUACCUUUUUGCGGAAGCGAUUCGCGCUACAACGCGACGAGCCCGGAUCGUAGAGGUUGAUUCAUGUGUCCUUGGAUCAUCCUUGAAGGUCUUCUAACGCUCCGAACUCGCGGUGGAUCGAACCACAAACGAGCACGAUCGCAAAUCCACCGUUCAAAUUCCUUUAGUAGUUAGUGCAAGUUUUUAAUCCCUUCCUAGUAACAAAAGGUAGUUGGUGCGAGUUUAUAUGGAACUUGUGAGAGUAACCUGGUAUGUAUGUUAAAUAACCAUGCAGGCUUCUAUAAUGUCCAAGCAUUUUGCCAAGUCUGACAAGCCAAGGAGAUUAAGUGGCCACUUAGAUGCCUAGAGGGAAAGUAUCCAUUCAGCAUUAACUGAGGUUCAAGUAUAUAGUCGUGGGGCCGAUCAGAAUUCGUUUAUGCACUUUUUGAUUUUUGUUAUCAAACAAUUUUUGAUUUUUUGUAUUUUUUAAAGUUAGAGAGUUUAAUUUGUUAUAAUUACUACAACAUAUGAGUGGAUAUUGUUGUGUGACGUAUGGAUAUUUGAUUUUAGUUUUAUCAUUUUAACGAAAAUUUAA